rnacentral:lncRNA from 1 species
AUGCAUCCAUGGAGAAUUACGGGAAUGUGGAAUGCUCUUCCAUUAAUAACGCCUUCUUUUACAUUCCUCCAGUGCUCUAGGAAUGAAAGCUACAGACAAUUCUUUCUUGUAAUGCUCCUUUUCAUUUCAGCCACAGAGGAAACAGACAACACCAGAAAUGAAGGCCCCAUGAAAGAUAACGCUCUGGAAGAGACUCCCUUACAUGUGUACAAUCCAGCCCUGGGCAAAGGAUCCGUGGAGAUUUCCCCAGGAAGCAUUCUGGGGACUCCUCUCUGCACGGUGCACUGCCCUGCAAAUCCCAGUGGCUUUAUCAGCUCUCAGCCCUAAUCGCUGCCUCCUCAGCUCAGCAAGGCUGCUCUUCUCUCCUUUGGGCUCUGUCACCUUGUGACAUGCACACCGAACCUAAAGUGAGUUCGCUCACCCAUUGCUCAGCAAGCCAAUCUCCAACACUAGGUGUAGUGGAAGAAAGGACGAAUUUUAUUAUUGCACAGUGCUGAACAAGGAGACAGGGCAGCUAAUGCUGAAAUCCCCAACUCCCCGAAAAUCUAAAAGGAAGGGUUUUAUUUGGGGUUUUAGGUAGGGGCAGGGGAGCAUAUGGCCUUGAUGGUUGGAGCUUUCUCACCAGCCUGUCUUUGGCCUUGAGACUACUUGCAGAGAGGAGGGAGCCCAUGACUUUUCUGGUCAGCAGCUCUCCCACCAGCCUGUAUCUCCUUGGCAGGGAGGAGAUUAUGAAUCCAGAUGCUUGUCCUUGGCGCUGUCUGUCUCCAUGGAGGAUAGUGGAUUCUGGAGCCAGAAAGCCAGGGAGUAAGCAGGGAAUGAGUGCUUUGGUUUUAACCCCAUAUAUGCUGGGUUUAAUGUAGGAAAACUGAUAUCAGGGUCGGUAUCAAUGUGGCAACCUUGAAGUUCCCCAAGGCAGGAAGUUGAGAGAACAUCAAGCUUACCACCUGUGUUUGCUUUUUUGCUGGCAUUACAGUUCUACACCAACACCACCUCCCCGUCUCCAAUUCUCCUCCAGAAAAUCCGUCAUAUAUUUGUCCAGUUUUAUGGUUGUUUACAGUAGGGAAUAUGGGGAGAAAUCUAGAACCCAGACUCUGUCAUGGCUAAACCUAAAGUAUUACUUUUUAACUUAAUCCUAUUUGAGUUAUUAAUAUUAAACAGAAGAAAGCAGUUUUGGAAAUUCAGGUUUUAAAAUUUGUGUUUUAGGGGCAGGCUCCGUGGCCGAGUGGUUAAAUUCAUGUGCUCUGCUUUGGCGGCCGAGGGUUUCACUGGUUUGGCUCCUGGAUGGGGACAUGGCACUGCUCAUCAAGCUGUGCUGAGGCGGCAUCCCACAUAACACAACCAGAGGCACUCACAACUAGAAUAUACAACGAUGUAGUGGGGGGCUUUGGGGAUAAGAAGAAGAACAAGGAGGAGGAGAAAAGAACAUGGGCAACAGAUGUUAGCUCAGGUGCCAAUCUAAAAAAAAAAUAAAUAAAAUGCAUGCUUUAGAAAUUUAACA